GGUCCCAUGGUGUAAUGGUUAGCACUCUGGACUUUGAAUCCAGCAAUCUGAGUUCGAAUCUUGGUGGGACUU
rnacentral:tRNA from 2 species